GAUGAACGCUAGCGGGAGGCUUAACACAUGCAAGUCGAGGGGUAACAGGGGUAGCAAUACCUGCUGACGACCGGCGUACGGGUGAGUAACGCGUAUGCAACCUGCCCUAUACAGGAGGAUAGCCCGGAGAAAUUCGGAUUAAUACUCCAUGUAGCAUUUUUUUCGCAUGAAUUAGAUGUUAAAGAUUUAUCGGUAUAGGAUGGGCAUGCGUCCCAUUAGCUAGUUGGUAAGGUAACGGCUUACCAAGGCUAUGAUGUUUAGGGGUCCUGAGAGGGUGGUCCCCCACACUGGUACUGAGACACGGCCCAGACUCCUACGGGAGGCAGCAGUGAGGAAUAUUGGUCAAUGGGCGCAAGCCUGAACCAGCCAUCCCGCGUGCAGGAAGACGGCCCUAUGGGUUGUAAACUGCUUUUCCAGGGAGAGAAACUUACGCACGUGUUGCGUGACUGACGGUACCCUGGGAAUAAGCAUCGGCUAACUCCGUG
rnacentral:rRNA from 1 species